rnacentral:rRNA from 1 species
AAGGAAAUCUACAUGUAUUCUGCGCAGUGAUUUUUUUUUAAUGGCCGCAGUACCUUGACUGUGCUAAGGUAGCAUAAUCAAUUGGCUUCUAAUUAAAGUCUGGAAUGAAAGGAAAUAUGAAGUAAUUCUAUCUUAAAGGAUUUUUUUUGAAUUUAUUUAAAUGAUGAAAAUAUCAUUUUAUAGAAAAAAGACGAGAAGACCCUUAUAGUUUUGAUAUUUAUAUAUUUUUGUUGGGGCGACAGGUAAACAUAUGACUUUACGAAUUAUCAUUGAUCGAUUUUUUAUAAGAAUAAUAAAACUACCUUAGGGAUAACAGCAUUAUAUUUUUUUUUAUGAUUGUGACCUCAAUGUUGGACUAGGAACUUUAUGGCUAGCCUUCAAAAAAGAUUUGUUCUGUUCGAACAAUUUUAUCCUACGUGAUCUGAGCCACACCGGUAAUAAGUGGGUUUGUUCAACCCUUAAUAUCCUACGUGAUCUGAUUUUCAGACCGGA